AUGAGAGGCCAUCCGGCAGCCCAAGUCUUCAACAGUGGUUGGACACAAUUUACAGACAAAAAUCCGUCGGUGCCGUCAAGAGCCCACAUAGGCCAACUAACAGACAUGUCUUCAUGGAAGUCAAGCCAGCAACAAAUGAGGACACGAAGCCAAGCAUAUAGGUGGACAGAACUUGCAGAGAAACCUCUCAGGUCCGAUCAUCCACGGUUUGUCUCCACGUGCGACGAUGCCACACAUCUCAUGUCCACUGCCAUCCUAUGCAAAUCGAGCAUCUAUGUGCCUCACUUGCGCCGAUCCACCACUCCUGUACACCUUGUGUUUGCCACCAUCGUGCCAAACUACAACCACAACCAUCCAAGGCAAUGGCCACAGUAG
rnacentral:rRNA from 1 species